GACGUCGAUAUUCGACGUCAUAAAUACGAUCAACUUUGGUGUUUAUGGCGUCGGAUAUUCGACGUCAUAAACACGAUCAAAUUUGGUGUUCAUGACGUCGAUAUUCGACGUCAUAAACACGAACAACUUUGCUGUUUAUGGCGUCGUUAUUCGACGUCAUAAACACGAUCAACUUUGGUGUUUAUGACGUCGAAUAUCGACGUCAUAACCACGAUCAAAUUUGGUGUUUAUGACGUCGAUAUUCGACGUCAUAAACACGAUCAACUUUGCUGUUUAUGGCGUCGAUAUUCGACGUC